rnacentral:rRNA from 1 species
UACAGAGGUCUCAAGCGUUGUUCGGAUUCACUGGGCGUAAAGGGUGCGCAGGCGCCAAGUGUGUCAGGUGUGAAAUCCCGGGGCUUAACUCCGGAACUGCGCCUGAAACUACUUGGCUAGAGCAUUGGAGAGGGAAGUGGAAUUCACGGUGUAGCAGUGAAAUGCGUAGAUAUCGUGAGGAACACCAGAGGCGAAGGCGACUUCCUGGACAAUUGCUGACGCUCAGGCACGAAAGCGUGGGGAGCCAAAGG